rnacentral:rRNA from 1 species
AGAGUUUGAUCCUGGCUCAGGAUGAACGCUAGCGACAGGCUUAACACAUGCAAGUCGAGGGGCAGCGAGGGAGUGGCAACACUUCUGUCGGCGACCGGCGCACGGGUGAGUAACGCGUAUGCAACCUGCCCUUCACAGGGGGAUAACCGGGAGAAAUUCCGACUAAUACCGCAUACGUCCUCCGGGGGCAUCCCAGGGGGAUGAAAGAAUUAUCGGUGAAGGAUGGGCAUGCGUGAUAUUAGGUAGUUGGCGGGGCAACGGCCCACCAAGCCCACGAUAUCUAGGGGUUCUGAGAGGAAGGUCCCCCACAUUGGUACUGAGACACGGACCAAACUCCUACGGGAGGCAGCAGUGAGGAAUAUUGGUCAAUGGACGAGAGUCUGAACCAGCCAAGUCGCGUGAAGGAAGACGGAUCUAUGGUUUGUAAACUUCUUUAGUGCGGGAACAAAGCGGCGUCGUGACGCCGGAUGAGUGUACCGCAAGAAUAAGCAUCGGCUAACUCCGUGCCAGCAGCCGCGGUAAUACGGAGGAUGCGAGCGUUAUCCGGAUUUAUUGGGUUUAAAGGGAGCGCAGGCUGCGAGGCAAGUCAGCGGUCAAAUGUCGGGGCUCAACCCCGGCCUGCCGUUGAAACUGUCUUGCUAGAGUUCGAGUGAGGUAUGCGGAAUGCGUUGUGUAGCGGUGAAAUGCAUAGAUAUGACGCAGAACUCCGAUUGCGAAGGCAGCAUACCAACUCGCGACUGACGCUGAGGCUCGAAAGCGUGGGUAUCGAACAGGAUUAGAUACCCUGGUAGUCCACGCAGUAAACGAUGAAUACUAACUGUUCGGAGGGCGACCUCUGAGUGGUAAAGCGAAAGCGUUAAGUAUUCCACCUGGGGAGUACGCCGGCAACGGUGAAACUCAAAGGAAUUGACGGGGGCCCGCACAAGCGGAGGAACAUGUGGUUUAA